rnacentral:rRNA from 1 species
UGCCAGACUCCUACGGGAGGCAGCAGUGGGGAAUAUUGCACAAUGGGGGAAACCCUGAUGCAGCGACGCCGCGUGAGUGAAGAAGUAUCUCGGUACGUAAAGCUCUAUCAGCAGGGAAGAAAAUGACGGUACCUGACUAAGAAGCCCCGGCUAACUACGUGCCAGCAGCCGCGGUAAUACGUAGGGGGCAAGCGUUAUCCGGAUUUACUGGGUGUAAAGGGAGCGUAGACGGCCGUGCAAGCCAGGAGUGAAAGCCCGGGGCCCAACCCCGGGACUGCUCUUGGAACUGUGCGGCUGGAGUGCGGGAGGGGCAGGCGGAAUUCCUGGUGUAGCGGUGAAAUGCGUAGAUAUCAGGAGGAACACCGGCGGCGAAGGCGGCCUGCUGGACCGCGACUGACGUUGAGGCUCGAAAGCGUGGGGAGCAAACAGGAUUAGAUACCCCAGUA